GACGAACGCUGGCGGCGUGCUUAACACAUGCAAGUCGAACGGAAAGGCCCUGCUUUUGUGGGGUGCUCGAGUGGCGAACGGGUGAGUAACACGUGAGUAACCUGCCCUUGACUUUGGGAUAACUUCAGGAAACUGGGGCUAAUACCGGAUAGGAGCUCCUGCUGCAUGGUGGGGGUUGGAAAGUUUCGGCGGUUGGGGAUGGACUCGCGGCUUAUCAGCUUGUUGGUGGGGUAGUGGCUUACCAAGGCUUUGACGGGUAGCCGGCCUGAGAGGGUGACCGGCCACAUUGGGACUGAGAUACGGCCCAGACUCCUACGGGAGGCAGCAGUGGGGAAUAUUGCACAAUGGGCGGAAGCCUGAUGCAGCAACGCCGCGUGCGGGAUGACGGCCUUCGGGUUGUAAACCGCUUUCGCCUGUGACGAAGCGUGAGUGACGGUAAUGGGUAAAGAAGCACCGGCUAACUACGUGCCAGCAGCCGCGGUGAUACGUAGGGUGCGAGCGUUGUCCGGAUUUAUUGGGCGUAAGGGCUCGUAGGUGGUUGAUCGCGUCGGAAGUGUAAUCUUGGGGCUUAACCCUGAGCGUGCUUUCGAUACGGGUUGACUUGAGGAAGGUAGGGGAGAAUGGAAUUCCUGGUGGAGCGGUGGAAUGCGCAGAUAUCAGGAGGAACACCAGUGGCGAAGGCGGUUCUCUGGGCCUUUCCUGACGCUGAGGAGCGAAAGCGUGGGGAGCGAACGGGCUUAGAUACCCUGGUAGUCCACGCUGUAAACGGUGGGUACUAGGUGUGGGGUCCAUUCCACGGGUUCCGUGCCGUAGCUAACGCUUUAAGUACCCCGCCUGGGGAGUACGGCCGCAAGGCUAAAACUCAAAGGAAUUGACGGGGCCCCGCACAAGCGGCGGAGCAUGCGGAUUAAUUCGAUGCAACGCGUAGAACCUUACCUGGGUUUGACAUGGAUCGGGAGUGCUCAGAGAUGGGUGUGCCUCUUUUGGGGUCGGUUCACAGGUGGUGCAUGGCUGUCGUCAGCUCGUGUCGUGAGAUGUUGGGUUAAGUCCCGCAACGAGCGCAACCCUUGUUCACUGUUGCCAGCACGUUAUGGUGGGGACUCAGUGGAGACCGCCGGGGUCAACUCGGAGGAAGGUGGGGAUGACGUCAAGUCAUCAUGCCCCUUAUGUCCAGGGCUUCACGCAUGCUACAAUGGCUGGUACAGAGAGUGGCGAGCCUGUGAGGGUGAGCGAAUCUCGGAAAGCCGGUCUCAGUUCGGAUUGGGGUCUGCAACUCGACCUCAUGAAGUCGGAGUCGCUAGUAAUCGCAGAUCAGCAACGCUGCGGUGAAUACGUUCCCGGG
rnacentral:rRNA from 1 species